UAGGAUACAGAUUGCCCCCUUGGGUACCGAUGUCGGAAUAACUUUUGUCGAGAUACCGGUGGCUCUGGAAGGUGUCGUUUUGACUCUGAUUGUCCAUUUGGUGAAGUAUGUAUUAAUAGACGAUGUCAAAGACAAGAACAAG